AAAAUAUUUAGAUGAAUAUCAAAAGUUUUACAGUUCAUGAGCUGCAAGAGCAAGCUUAUCCAAUUAGUGAACAUAUGUGUUUAUAGUUAAUAAAUCUAACUGAAAUAAUACAGUGAUGUGUAUUUGGACAGCUUCUAGGAUACUGGAAGUUAGUGAAGGAGAUGUGUCUGUAAUUGGUGUGAUUACUGGAAAUGACAGUUUUUCCUCAGUGCUUCACUAACUGGUGAAAGAGUAUAGCUAUUCCGAAUCGUUACCUGAGACUCUGCCUCUGCCUGCACUGUAUUCACAGUGCAAAAACUGACCUCCAGUGAAGGUGGCUUUUAUAUUCUGCUCCAUUAUCAGCUGCAUUGGACAAACAGGGGUCAGUUGCCCCACGACAGCCAUUCCAGCAGUCAAAAAUGUUGCCUAGCCUACAGUAGAGCUUUCAAAAGCAGCUUUCCAGGAAAGAAAGCAAGUUCAAGUUGGAAGAGCAAUCUCAUUGCUGUCACAGUGAAGUGAUUGGACUCUUAGUCAUUUGUUACUGCCACAAUACUGAAAACAAAAGGAAGUGGAUCAGAGUGACAUCAGUGAGCAAAAGUCAGAUGCUCAGAUGUGUUUUGCAGCAGGAAUAUGUUUCCUUUCUCCAGUGGAUAGAUUAUACUUUUUCUCCCUCUCAUCACCUUCUAGUUUCAGGUAAGUUUCAGAUAAUAUUUUGCAUUUGGAACAGUAGUUUUAAAAUCCUUGACUGUGCUAAAGGGACUGGAAAUUUAGUAAUAACUUUGCUAUAUGAUGUCUAGGUCACUGUGCUAUUGUUGAGCUAUCUACAACACUCUAGUCCUUCAGCUGUGGCUGAGCACCUGGUUCCCUGAAAAGAGACUGACAGUGUACAGAAUGAAUGUAGAACAGAUAUGACAGACUGAUAGCAUUUCACAGUGUUAUGGGUGUUGUCUGUGACAUGAGGGAUUGUUGGUUGGUUGGUUGUUGUCCUCACUUUCACGAGUAACUACAGGUUCCUGACCACCCUCUUGGGAGUUAUGACUGAAGUGUUUAUGGAG
ensembl:lncRNA